rnacentral:rRNA from 1 species
UACGAGGGGGGCAAGCGUUGUUCGGAAUUAUUGGGCGUAAAGGGUGCGUAGGCGGCGCGGUAUGUCUCUUGUGAAAUCUCCAGGCUCAACUUGGAGUCUGCAAGGGAAACUGCCGUGCUUGAGUACUGGAGAGGUGAGUGGAGUUCCCGGUGUAGCGGUGAAAUGCGUAGAUAUCGGGAGGAACACCUGUGGCGAAAGCGGCUCACUGGACAGUAACUGACGCUGAUGCACGAAAGCUAGGGGAGCAAACGGG